rnacentral:rRNA from 1 species
AACGAACGCUGGCGGCAUGCCUAACACAUGCAAGUCGAACGAGACCUUCGGGUCUAGUGGCGCACGGGUGCGUAACGCGUGGGAACCUGCCCUUAGGCUCGGAAUAACUCCCCGAAAGGGGCGCUAAUACCGGAUAAUGUCUUCGGACCAAAGAUUUAUCGCCAUUGGAUGGGCCCGCGUUGGAUUAGCUAGUUGGUAGGGUAAAAGCCUACCAAGGCGACGAUCCAUAGCUGGUCUGAGAGGAUGAUCAGCCACACUGGGACUGAGACACGGCCCAGACUCCUACGGGAGGCAGCAGUAGGGAAUAUUGGACAAUGGGCGAAAGCCUGAUCCAGCAAUGCCGCGUGAGUGAUGAAGGCCUUAGGGUUGUAAAGCUCUUUUACCCGGGAUGAUAAUGACGGUACCGGGAGAAUAAGCUCCGGCUAACUCCGUG